CACUUUGAGAUUUCAAGAACUCUGCGUGUACCAAUCUAUUUUUAAUGUGUUUGACGUUGAUUCAGUAUAUUUGUUUGAUUAUGCGUUGGUUAUGUGAAUUUGGUAUGUGUUUUACCUACGGCUCUGAAAUGCCCACUUCACAAACUUGUCUUUAGCACUUUGUUGCUAUAGGAAAAUCAGCAAAGUUGUCUAUAGCACGAAGUUGUCUAUAACACUGGAGUGACCACUUCAGAAAUGAUGCAUCUUGCACAUUGAUGCUUUAGGAAAGAUGUUAUGUUUGAGCCUCAGUGUUUUCGAAGCCCAUUAGAGCUAGGGUUUUGGGGACACAAGAUACUACUAUAUAUAUCUUGUGCCUCCUCUAAACCUAAAAAAAGCUUAGUCAAGCCAAGAAAGAGGAGAAGACAAGAGAAACUCCACAAGAUCUAGAGAGAGGCAAGCAAAAAGUUCAAAGGCCGCCAAGAGGGAUCUGCAGCUGAGCAAAAAGCAAGAAGGAGACAAGAGAGAAAAAGUCAGAGAGUGAGAAGCUACCAAAGACAAGAGAAGAAACAAAGUUCAAGUCUUUGUGUUCUUAAGAGUUAUUUCGGUAUUGUACUCUCCUUCUGUAAUCUCCUUUGUCAUUCUCAAGGAAGUGAGAAGUGACUGAAACUUGUAAGCUUUGCUUGUUAGUGGAAGUUGUGGGAGAGAGAUCCCAGCCCAAAGAUACUGCAAGGGAACUGGGUGAAAAAUUUUGUGUCUUUAAAUUUUUGUUUUCAUCACAAAGAUCCAAGCUUUAACACUCAAAGGAUAAGACAUUUAAGUGUAUGGAUAAACCUAACAAGU
rnacentral:lncRNA from 1 species